rnacentral:tRNA from 1 species
GGCUGUAGCUCAGCUGGGAGAGCACCUGCUUUGCAAGCAGGGGGUCAGCGGUUCGAUCCCGCUCAGCU